rnacentral:rRNA from 1 species
UACGUAGGGUGCGAGCGUUGUUCGGAAUUAUUGGGCGUAAAGAGCUUGUAGGUGGUUUGUCGCGUCUGCUGUGAAAAUCCGAGGCUCAACCUCGGACUUGCAGUGGGUACGGGCAGACUAGAGUGUGGUAGGGGAGACUGGAAUUCCUGGUGUAGCGGUGGAAUGCGCAGAUAUCAGGAGGAACACCGAUGGCGAAGGCAGGUCUCUGGGCCAUUAACUG